GUGACGUGUUCAAUUUUUAUUGGAAAGAAAUUUUUGGUCGUCGAGAGAAUACUCUCGUUUCAUUUUCUUCGAUAUUGUCGAGCUAGGGAAGUCCCAAAAUUCAGUUGCAAAUGGAGGAGAAUGAUUUAAUUUUUGGUGACCUCCGACUGUUCGAACCGUUACUCAUCACCUCCACCGACGGCGGAUCUCAACGGCGACUCUGGUUCAGGUAAUCGUGACUCGUCUCCUUCCCAUGGCGAAUUGAUUUUUUUUUUUUUCUGGGUUAUCGUUGAUCUGGAUUCGUUUCAUCGAUGGAUGGUGAUUUGAUUUGAAAACUUUGUAUAUCAUCAUCUGCUGAUACAUGAUAUCAUUGAGAGGGCUAAAUAUAGAGUAGUAGAGCACAUUGAGAGAAUUCAUCCCGUCUUUCUGGGUUCGUCUCUUUUGUCUGGACGGGAAACACUUGUUCGCAUCACUGGGAAGGCUUUACACUGAGAAGACAUCGUGGCUUGAUGGGAAACAUGUUGUGUUUGGGAAAGUUAUUGAUGGUACAAUGUGGUGAAGGCUAUGGAAGAUGUUGGAUCUGACAGGGGAAAUACCUCUGAACCAGUUGUGAUUGAAGAUUGUGGUGAGCUCAAGAACCCAAGUUCGUAAGUUUUAAACACGUUUGGGUUGAUCUUGACUAUUGUGAAGUGGAGACUGCAGCAUCUGAGAUAGUUAAGAUCAAUCUAAUUGCUAUAUGCAAAGCACUACUACUUAGGUUUUGAGUUUUGACAAUAUCAUAUGAAUCUUUAGUAAGUGAUUCCUCCUUUUAAGUUUUUAUAAAAACUAUGUAUGAGUGUAGAAUCGAUGAUAAUAAUAGUAAAAUUCUUUAUUGAGUCA